rnacentral:rRNA from 1 species
GACGAACGCUGGCGGCGUGCUUAACACAUGCAAGUCGAACGGAAAGGCCUCUUUCGGGGGGUACUCGAGUGGCGAACGGGUGAGUAACACGUGAGUAACCUGCCCUUGACUUUGGGAUAACUUCAGGAAACUGGGGCUAAUAUCGGAUAGGAGCUCCUGCUGCAUGGUGGGGGUUGGAAAGUUUCGGCGGUUGGGGAUGGACUCGCGGCUUAUCAGCUUGUUGGUGGGGUAGUGGCUUACCAAGGCUUUGACGGGUAGCCGGCCUGAGAGGGUGACCGGCCACAUUGGGACUGAGAUACGGCCCAGACUCCUACGGGAGGCAGCAGUGGGGAAUAUUGCACAAUGGGUGGAAGCCUGAUGCAGCAACGCCGUGUGCGGGAUGACGGCCUUCGGGUUGUAAACCGCUUUCGCUCAUGACGAAGCUUUGUGUGACGGUAGUGGGUAAAGAAGCACCGGCUAACUACGUG